rnacentral:rRNA from 1 species
CGGCGGACGGGUGAGUAACGCGUGGGUAACCUGCCUCAUACAGGGGGAUAACAGUUUGAAAUGACUGCUAAUACCGCAUAAGACCACGGUACCGCAUGGUACAGUGGUAAAAACUCCGGUGGUAUGAGAUGGACCCGCGUCUGAUUAGGUAGUUGGUGGGGUAACGGCCUACCAAGCCGACGAUCAGUAGCCGACCUGAGAGGGUGACCGGCCACAUUGGGACUGAGACACGGCCCAG